AUACAGUGACCACAGAGCAUUAGCACCCAAGCAGGACCUGCUGAACCUGGGGCCCUAUAGGAGAGCACUGAUGGCCCACCCCUGAUUGUGGCCCUGGUCUUCAUGUCUGCAUCAGCCUCAGCCAUCUCAAGACCACAACAGGAACAUAGCCAAGUCAGAGAAGGAAGACCAAAAGCACCAGGGCCCUUCAUAUUAUUAAGCUGCUAAAUUAACUAAUCUUGGAAACUUCUAGACUCUACAAUUCUUGUUGUAUGAGAACUUCUAGCAACUAACCCUGGCAUGACCACCAGAAUCUGCAGGGCUGAGAGAAGAAAGAAAGGCAAAAGUGGAUGAAUGCAGCUGAAGAUGCUGUGGAACUCCUAUCACAUUCCAAGUGCUGUGUUGAUAUCUGGAGAUAUAGACAAGAUCGAAGCAGAUGCAGUCUUUCACAUGAAUAUUUGAAUCAGGCAGUAUGUUCCCCAAAUUAGCAAAGUAUCUCCCAGAUUUUUUCUUUGAUGAUAUAUUUGAAAUCCUAAUGCUGAAAGUUAAAUUAUCAGGGUUUUAAAACUAGAAGCAGUCAUUAUCAGAAUUUUAUAUACUAUUUAUUUUUAAGAACGUAAUUUGACUGUUUAAGUCUUAUUAUAAUUUUAAGUGAAGUACUUUGGGCAGUCAUAAAUAAAGUAAUGGGCAGGUAUUUAGUAUUCAUAUUGUGUGGAUUCAUAUCCAUACUCUGCCACUCAGUAUCUCUGGGAUUUUGAUGAAUGAUCAAACUCUCUGAGCCUCAGUUUUCUAAUCUGUAAAGCAGAAAUGAUAAUGGUAUGUAGUGAUAAUUAAACAAUUUACUAGUUGUAAGUGCUUAGAACAGUUCCUGGAAUAGAGAAAAUUUGCAGAGAGAUUUUUAUUGUUUACAAUUUAGUUAAUGGAAUGGCUUCAAUAAUACAGUAAAAUUAAGAUAUUCAAACAAGCAGGAUGCAGGUGAUGGGUAUUGGCCUCAGCUUUAGAGACCAGAGGUUAAAUCUCAGUGCUGCCUGCCACAAAACGAUCCAUGUAAGUCAAUAAACAAUGCUUUUUAAAAUAUUAUUAUAAAGAUAUAGUGUGUGGAUCCCUCUCAAUUGUCCAUUCUUCCCUGUCACAAAAAUUUGCCUGCUUUUCGUUACCAUGUGAGAGGCAAAUGAAUUGAACUAAAUGGUUUCUAAUGCCCUGUCCACCUCUAAAAUUCUAUAGAACUGUGAUUUGAUUCCAAUGGGCCAUAUCAGGACUCGGCAUUAUUUUCAUCAGUGAACCAUUUCAUUAGAAAUUUAUUUUUCCAAAUGAUAUUAGUAAAUAUUGAAGGAGGCUUCUCCCACAGAGCUUCUUGUACAAAUUAAAACAGGGCAGUAGAAGGUUUUCAGGUUGGUGAAGUCAACUCUGGCUUUUAGUCAACCAUUCCAAAAAAACAUUUUCUUUAGAAUCCAAGGGCUUGCAAUUGUUCUGAAUAAAGCAUAAAGAAGCUGUUCUGAUUUAUUAAAUAAAAAGAGUACCAAAUAUAUGAUUUUUAAAAUG
rnacentral:lncRNA from 1 species